GGUGAGAUGGCCGAGCGGUCUAAGGCGCCAGACUAAGGAGACCAACGCAUUGGAUGCGUCCAUUCAUCUGGUCCGAAAGGGCGUGGGUUCGAAUCCCACUCUCAUCA
rnacentral:tRNA from 1 species